AGUGGCGGACGGGUGAGUAACGCGUGAGAAUCUGCCUUGGGGUCGGGGACAACCACUGGAAACGGUGGCUAAUACCGGAUAAGCCGAUUGGUGAAAGAUUUAUUGCCCGAAGAGGAGCUCGCGUCUGAUUAGCUAGUUGGUGAGGUAAGAGCUCACCAAGGCAGCGAUCAGUAGCUGGUCUGAGAGGACGAUCAGCCACACUGGGACUGAGACACGGCCCAGACUCCUACGGGAGGCAGCAGUGGGGAAUUUUCCGCAAUGGGCGAAAGCCUGACGGAGCAAGACCGCGUGAGGGAGGAAGGCUCUUGGGUUGUAAACCUCUUUUCUCAGGGAAGAAGCUCUGACGGUACCUGAGGAAUCAGCCUCGGCUAACUCCGUGCCAGCAGCCGCGGUAAUACGGAGGAGGCAAGCGUUAUCCGGAAUUAUUGGGCGUAAAGCGUCCCAGGUGGCGAUUCAAGUCUGCUGUCAAAGCACGGGGCUUAACUCCGUAAAGGCAGUGGAAACUGAAUAGCUAGAGUGCCGUAGGGGUAGAGGGAAUUCCCGGUGUAGCGGUGAAAUGCGUAGAGAUCGGGAAGAACAUCGGUGGCGAAAGCGCUCUACUGGACGGCAACUGACACUCAGGGACGAAAGCUAGGGGAGCGAAUGGGAUUAGAUACCCC
rnacentral:rRNA from 1 species